rnacentral:lncRNA from 1 species
UAAAGUUGGACAUUUUCAAUCUAUCCCAUAAAAUCAGGAUUGAUUUACCUUCAACCCAAUCUCAAUAAAUCACUAUUGAAAUCAACUUAUCAACAACCACUCCUGUUAUCUUGGUUUUCGUCUAUCGCUACGCCCUAGGACUCCCCUUCUAUAACCAGCAUUUUACUCUCUCGCUAUCUCUAUGAAAAACUUAGAAAUUUGAAUGAACCACCACCACCUUACCUCCGGUGCUACACCCCACCACUGCCUCUGCUGAUCUAAAGCAAUAUCCAAACACCACAGCCAAUACCACAACACCACAUCUCUUCCACCAUCGCAUGAUUUCCAUCACUUCCUUCUCAGUCUCUCUUACUUGAGAUUUGUUUUCCUACUCAUGCAUCUUACCGCCACUGAAAAAGACAGAACAGAAGCACCAAAUGAUUAGGUUGAAGGUAACAUAUCCCUAUUUCUAAUUAGAGGUCGAUUGGAUUAUGAUUCGUUCUCUCUUUUCUUUUUAUUUUUUCAAAAUUUUCCAAAGAAGAAGAGUCGUUCUCUCUUUUCUUUUCAUUAUUAUUGUAUGUGUUUAGUUUUGUAAUUAUUUAUCGAAGUUUUUUUUGAUGAAAUAGUGAUUAACAGGCAAGCAUACCAGGUGUUUGUGAAAAUGUCUCACAUAUACCAUGAUUGUAUCUGUUCAUCAAAUCACCACAAUUAUAAUUGGAUACAGUUCUUUUCAGUUACUUGUCUAUUAUAAAUUUUUAUUACAUUUUCCUUUGUUAAAUGAAGUUUUUUUUCAGAGCUUUGUCUUCACCUCCAAAUUGGAAAAAAGUUGUUGAUGAGAGGCGUGCAUGUAUAACACCUCAAAACCAUGUUAUUGAAUUCAAUAAUGGAAUCUAAAUGAUAUAAUAUCAAUGUAAUUUCAUAGUUGGAGGUGAAGAUCAUUCAUAUUAGUUUUAUUUUUUCAAAUUCUAUUUUUAGAGGGCAAUGAUUUUUUUAUUCUUGGCUAUUCCAAAUUCAUAGUUCACAGUAAGGAUCCAAGUUUCAUCUUUUUUUACAGGAGUUUUUUAUUUUUGAUGACAACAAACUCAUAAUGUUGGUGUUUGUUGGAGUACAUUACUAAUUUUAUCGAGAGGCGAGCUCUUAUUAGUCUCAAAUAUUAUAUAAAUUUUAAAAUAAAAUUAUUAACAGAUGAUUAAAAAAAGUUAGCAUUCAAUUGCUUAAUAGUUGUACAUCUAAAGAUGUAAUUAGAAUAAGUUUUAGAUAAGCAAGUUUGUCACUUGUAUAAUCUAUAUUGUUGCAUGACAUAAUCUGUCAAAUUUGUAACAUAUGCACUUUGUUUUUUUUCUCUAACGUUUCAUUCUUGGGUGGAAACAUAUAAAGCUUUAAUAUAUUUCUUUUUCCAGAGUUAGGUGGAGAUGAAACACACCUAUUUUUUUUUCAAAGUACAACUAUUUUGUUACUUUGCCCCUUUUUUUCUUCCUAGGUACAUUUAACUUAUUUGAAUCCUCUUUUGAAAUUAUGUUGGUUUUUCAGGAUUACUGGUGGCUCCCGCAGUUGUCGGAGCAUGAUCUAAAUUGAUAAAUUUAUAAAUAAGACAAAUAUGCAACAUGACCAUAAGUGGUUUUCAUGAGAAUGUUUGUAACAUACACCAUUCACUAUAACCUUAGUUAAUAAUUUGUUUUCAUCCCUCUUUUUGUUUUUGUGGCAUACAUUGCACAAAUUAGUAGAUAGAGUAAAGUAUAUUUCUAUUUUCU